UACUUCAUGUGGGGAGCGCAGUGGUUAGCACAACGCUUUUAGUAAGUACAGGCUGCCCGAGUCCAGUUCCUGCCGCUGCCAGUGAGGCGCUGGUACACCUUCCUGGUGACUGCGUGCGUUUCCGUCGGCACCUCCGGUUUCCUCCCAUAGUCCAAAGACCUGCCGGCACAAUCCACUUAGGCAUCUGUUGAGGUGGUCGUGGAGAACUUAGACUGCAACAAUGGAUGACUGGAGGCAUUGGCUGGAACUAAUAGCCAUGGCCCAUACCCCUGACGUCAUGGCACUUCAGAACACUGAGCUAGACUCUGGGGCCGUUACAGGACCAAAGGAGAUGCAGCUAUUCUAGCAGGAAUGACUGAACUAAGACACCACGUGUCCUCUGUCUGAGAGAUGCUGCCAGACCUUCUGAGCUCCUCCAGCUUUUUAAGUGUUGCCCCAGGUUCCAGCAUCUGCAGUCUUUAGUGCCUCCGAGAGAGACUCCUCUGUAUGAAUUAAUAUUGGAGGGAAGAUGAGCAAAUGGAGCCCCAUGGUUGAUCUGGAGUAGCACAUCCUGAUGCCCGAAAGAAGACCAGCCACCAGCUGCAGGGUGAAAUGUUGAACAAUACAGAUUCCCCCCCAGGUUAUCAACACACAAGCAUUUGGGAGACCGGCAGGAUGCCAGCACCCUGUGCUGUGUGAGAACUUGGUCCACGGUCACACUUCCAACUUGUGAACUGUUACUGUUACAAACAUAUUACGCUGUAAUAACCUGGGGGAUGGGUUCUGAAUGUAUUAAAAU